rnacentral:rRNA from 1 species
CCUACGGGAGGCAGCAGUGGGGAAUAUUGCACAAUGGGGGAAACCCUGAUGCAGCGACGCCGCGUGAGUGAAGAAGUAUCUCGGUAUGUAAAGCUCUAUCAGCAGGGAAGAAAAUGACGGUACCUGCCUAAGAAGCCCCGGCUAACUACGUGCCAGCAGCCGCGGUAAUACGUAGGGGGCAAGCGUUAUCGGGAUUUACGGGGUGUAAAGGGGGCGUAGACGGCGCUGCAAGUCCGGAGUGAAAUUCCAUGGCUUAACCAUGGUCCUGCUCUGGACACGGUGGAGCUUGAGGGCGGGAGGGGCAGGCGGAAUUCCUAGUGUAGCGGUGAAAUGCGGAGAUAUUAGGAGGAACACCGGCGGCGAAGGCGGCCUGCUGGACCGUAACUGACGUUGAGGCUCGAAAGCGUGGGGAGCAAACAGGAUUAGAUACCCGGGUAGUC